UUCAUUCUUUCAAAAUUUAAAAUGUUGUAAAUGGUUAAACUUCUAUCUAUUUAAUACAACAAAGUAACUUUAAGAAAUCCAUACUUAAAAUAAAAAACUAAAAAAUUGAGCGAAACGUUGAAAUUGUCCUAUGGUGUGACUGUCCCAAGCUCAAUUUAACAGGUAGUAACUUAAAUAAUUAAAUAAUAAGAAGGUCAGGCCUUUCUAUAAAAACCCUGGCAUAAUUGUGAAAGUGUCUAUUUUAGUAAGUGUUAAUGCAUUUUUCUAUACAUACUUUUCAAAAAAUGUAGGGAUUUGUGAAAUGUUGUCACUAAAAACGACAUCCUAUGGUGUGACACCGAAUUCCUAUUUUUACACGGGCAAUUUCAUAGACAACUAUAUCUUGUUGAAGCUCCGCCUUGAAAUGUAUGUUUCUGAAGACCCCAAAGAAGCCCAUGACAUGUUCACAUGAACAGUAAGAUUUGAGGGCGAGAUGAGUGGGAGAGAAAGGACGAGAAAGUAUAGAGACCGAAUCAACAGUGAUCCACAGAGAAGGGAGGCAAUCCUUGCAGAGCGACGGAGAAAAUAUCAACAAAGGAAGGCUGAAGGAAAACUGUCUCAUCUCAUCUCAUUAUCUCUAGCCGCUUUAUCCUGUUCUACAGGGUCGCAGGCGAGCUGGAGCCUAUCCCAGCUGACUACGGGCGAAAGGCGGGGUACACCCUGGACAAGUCGCCAGGUCAUCACAGGGCUGACACAUAGACA